GACGUAGGGCGCAAGCGUUGUCCGGAUUUAUUGGGCGUAAAGAGCUCGUAGGCGGUGUGUCGCGUCGGUCGUGAAAACUUGGGGCUUAACCCUGAGCUUGCGGUCGAUACGGGCAUCACUGGAGUUCGGCAGGGGAGACUGGAAUUCCUGGUGUAGCGGUGAAAUGCGCAGAUAUCAGGAGGAACACCGGUGGCGAAGGCGGGUCUCUGGGCCGAUACUGACGCUGAGGAGCGAAAGCGUGGGGAGCGAACAGG
rnacentral:rRNA from 1 species